UUUCCGUAGGUGAACCUGCGGAAGGAUCAUUAAAAAUGAAGCCGGGAAACCGGUCCUUCUAACCCUUGAUUAUCUUAAUUUGUUGCUUUGGUGGGCCGCGCAAGCACCGGCUUCGGCUGGAUCGUGCCCGCCAGAGGACACAACUCUGUAUCAAAUGUCGUCUGAGUACUAUAAAAUAGUUAAAACUUUCAACAACGGAUCUCUUGGUUCCG
rnacentral:misc_RNA from 1 species